AAGCAACGCGAAGAACUUACCAGGGCUGACAUCCCUCUGAAAGGCCGGGUAAAACCGGCCCCUCUUCGGACAGAGGUGACAGGUGGUGCAUGGUUGUCGUCAGCUCGUGUCGUGAGAUGUUGGGCUAAGUCCCGCAACGAGCGCAACCCUUGUCUUCAGUUGCCAGCGGUUCGGCCGGGCACUCUGGAGAGACUGCCGGGGACAACUCGGAGGAAGGUGGGGAUGACGUCAAAUCAUCAUGCCCCUUAUGUUCUGGGCUACACACGUGCUACAAUGGUCGUUACAGAGAGAAGCAAUACUGUGAAGCGGAGCGAACCUCUAAAAGCGAUCCCAGUUCGGACUGCAGGCUGCAACUCGCCUGCACGAAGUCGGAGUUGCUAGUAAUCGCGAAUCAGAACGUCGCGGUGAAUGCGUUCCCGGGUCUUGUACACACCGCCCGUCACACCAUGGAAGUUGGGGGCGCCCGAAGUUGGUCACAAAUCGAUUACCUAAGGCGAAACC
rnacentral:rRNA from 1 species